rnacentral:rRNA from 1 species
ACUGAACGCUGGCGGCAGGCCUAACACAUGCAAGUCGAGCGGAUGAAGGGAGCUUGCUCCUGGAUUCAGCGGCGGACGGGUGAGUAAUGCCUAGGAAUCUGCCUGGUAGUGGGGGAUAACGUCCGGAAACGGGCGCUAAUACCGCAUACGUCCUGAGGGAGAAAGUGGGGGAUCUUCGGACCUCACGCUAUCAGAUGAGCCUAGGUCGGAUUAGCCAGUUGGUGGGGUAAAGGCCUACCAAGGCGACGAUCCGUAACUGGUCUGAGAGGAUGAUCAGUCACACUGGAACUGAGACACGGUCCAGACUCCUACGGGAGGCAGCAGUGGGGAAUAUUGGACAAUGGGCGAAAGCCUGAUCCAGCCAUGCCGCGUGUGUGAAGAAGGUCUUCGGAUUGUAAAGCACUUUAAGUUGGGAGGAAGGGCAGUAAGUUAAUACCUUGCUGUUUUGACGUUACCAACAGAAUAAGCACCGGCUAACUUCGUG